rnacentral:rRNA from 1 species
ACGGCUCAGUAACACGUGGCUAACCUACCCUCAGGACGGGGAUAAACCCGGGAAACUGGGGCUAAUAUCCGAUAGGUGAGGAUGCCUGGAAUGGUUUCUCACUCAAAUGGCUUUAGGAACAUGCUUCUAAAGUCGCCUGGGGAUGGGGCCGCGACCGAUCAGGUUGUUGGUGAGGUAAUGGCUCACCAAGCCUAUAACCGGUACGGGCCGUGAGAGCGGUAGCCCGGAGAUGGGUACUGAGACAAGGACCCAGGCCCUACGGGGCGCAGCAGUCGCGAAAACUCCGCAAUGCACGAAAGUGUGACGGGGCUACCCCGAGUGCCAUCCGCUGAGGAUGGCUUUUCCUUGGUAUAACUAGCCAGGGGAAUAAGGAGAGGGCAAGACUGGUGUCAGCCGCCGCGGUAAUACCAGCUCUCCGAGUGGUAGGGAUGAUUAUUGGGCUUAAAGCGUCCGUAGCCGGCUUAGCAAGUCUCCUGUUAAAUUCAGCGACCUAAUCGUUGAGCCGCGGGAGAUACUACUAGGCUAGGAGGCGGUAGAGGUCAACGGUACUUCUGGGGUAGGGGUGAAAUCCUAUAAUCCCGGGAGGACCACCAGUGGCGAAGGCUGUUGACUAGAACGCGCUCGACGGUGAGGGACGAAAGCUGGGGGAGCGAACCGGAUUAGAUACCCGGGUAGUCCCAGCCGUAAACGAUGCGGGCUAGGUGUUGGGGUGGCUACGUGCCACUUCAGUGCCGCAGGGAAACCAUUAAGCCCGCCGCCUGGGGAGUACGGCCGCAAGGCUGAAACUUAAAGGAAUUGGCGGGGGAG